UGUGUGUGUGUGUGUGUGUCUGUGUGUGUAUGUCUGUGUGUGUGUCUGUGUGUGUGUGUGUGUGUGUGUGUGUGUGUGUGUGUGUGUGUGUGUGUGUGUGUGUGUGUGUGUGUGUGUGUGUGUGUGUGUGUAUGUGUGUAUGUGUGUGUGUCUGUGUAUGUGUGUGUGUGUGUGUGUCUGUGUGUGUGUGUGUGUGUCUGUGUGUGUGUGUGUGUGUCUGUGUGUCUGUCUGUGUGUGUGUGUCUCUGUGUGUGUGUGUGUGUGUGUGUGUGUGUGUCUGUGUGUGUGUGUCUGUGUGUGUGUGUGUCUGUGCGUGCAUGUGUGUGCGAUUGUGAUUGAUGGGCCCGUGGGGCUGUUGGAUUGUGUGUUAAUGGUUAUUGUGUUACCUCUGUGUGUGCGCGUGUUGUGUUACUGGUUGUUGGUUAUAUUUCACUCUGCAGAGCCUGUAAACAAAACCAAAUUAAAGAACAUUUACUUUAUGAAGUUCACGCGUUCAUCCAUCAUCCCGCUUCCAGCUGCGUAUCCGGGUCAGGGUCGCCGUGGCAACAGAGAGCGCUUUUGGCAUAAACCGGUUUUGCAUCUGGAAGCUUUUCUCCUGGUUCUCCCAGAGAAAGCAGAAAAGCCUCAUCAUUUGACACCAUUUAACGCGGGAGUGCGUUUGGUGCUGACGGUGGAAUGAAGGCGAGGUCACAGAGGAUCAUCCUCUGGGGAGCCUUUCAAUGCAAAUCUCCACUGUGCCCCAAAACACAGAAAAAUACCCUCAAAGGAUUUGAUGGAGCUGGAGAAGCUUUAGCUGCAGUUACUCGUGUUCUGCUCUAAAGGCAAUUGGAGGACUGAUUUGUUGGCGUUCCAUGAACACACAAUAGCAUUAAUAUUCUACAACGAAGAAGCCUCAUUUUAGCUCAGUAGUCGAUCUAACUUUGUGUUUCUGUCCGGAAUGAACUCUUAGUUGGUUGAUUGGUCGGCGGCAGGCGACGCUCACGCUGGUCACGGGGCGUAAAUACCGUAGCAUCCGUGUUGUUUUGUACGCUAUCGAUACGCGUUGAUUCAUUCGUGUGUCCUUCGGUGUCUUUGCGUUGACUUUUCAUCUGAUGUCAUCGUGCGGUUCAGAAUAGUCAGAAUAGUUAAAACACUUUAGCCGAUUCACCUCUCGCGUUGUGUUUCCCCCGUGAGUGCUGUUGAUGCGCCGUGCGCUGUCAGCUGUUAAUAGCUGGUGUGCGUUGUGAGAUGGAUGGUGUGUGUUUCCUCUGAAAGCUCACAGAUAAGGAGCGUUUUUUUUCUUUAAAGCACAUUUGUUUUCUGCGGAGGGAAAAAUCGGCCAUUAAUGCAGAUUUAUGCAGAUUGGCUGGAUGGAAGUCGUUUGGGCAAAAAGCGCCGCUGAGGGUCGAGCAGUGAUUACUAAUGGGGUUCAUAGCUGCACAGAGAAAGGGCUGCGGCCAGCCAGUGAGUGUGUGUGUGUGAGUGUGUGUGUGUGUGUGUCUCUCGGGCUGCUUUCCAGCUGUUGAAACAACCUUUUGUAAAUCUUUGCAGGAGCCUCGGCCCGUUCGGCCCGUUCUGUUGGUUCCCUGCUGCUCAUUUAUUCAUGUGGGUUUUAUGGCUGAGCUCGUGUCUCCCGUUCUCUUCCUCCUCUGUGGCUUCUCGCUUCCUCUGUCAGGGAAACACGUCGGGAGUCAGACGCAAUGCUGCUUCCUCCGCAGGAAUGAAACCGGGAGGCACGGAGCUCCUUCGCUACACCCUUUCUCACCCUCGUAGGAGGCGCGGUGGCGGCGGUUCCACGGCUUCCUGCUUUCAAAAGGUCGCUUUAAGGUUAAAGUGCCAAAGUGCCGUCAGCUAAAUGCGUACAUUAUCUAUAUAUAACCAACUGUCCUCUCCACAGAGAGUUCAGUUAGCCUGAGUGAAAGAGCGCCGACCGACAAUCAAUGUCACAACCGAGGGUUCCUCGUGACGGGACGGCAAAUGUCUCCGUUGGCUUUGUUUGGCUCACUCGUGCCGACCGUCGGAGACGCGUCAGUACGAGCCGGUGGACCAGUUGGAGGUUUCCUCUGUUCACCAGCCUCAGGUUUAUAAUCAGCUUCCUCUUAAUCCAGAUGACAAACCAAAACCAGACCACCCUCAGACUGAAACACAUCUGCAGCGAUCGCUUGUCUCCGUCAUUCUGUCCGUUAAGGAAACCAUUUUCAGGAUUUAUGGAAAUCUCAGCAACCAAAGCAAUAAUGGCAUCAGCAACAAGACAACAAGUAGCUGCAGCUUUAAAAGUUGCAACAACAGAAACGGCAACAUAGAAAGGAGCAACAGCAGCAAUAAGUGGAGCAUCUAAAGCAACAACCGAAGCCUUUAAUCCUCGCGGGGUUUUAUCAUCCGUACAACAAGUGCUUUCUUUGACUCACUUCUCAGAUUCAGAUAUCACUUUUCUUGGAUUGGGAGAUGAUGCUGGAAAAUCUCUAUUUUUUAAGGACACACUGAGCAGCCCUCAACAAACCCAAAGUCAGAUUGCAAACUGCUGGACGGCUUUUGCUAACUCUACCAACUCUUCUUGCUGAUGAUUUUGGUUGUUUGUGGUGUUGAAUUUGUUGUCAGUUUUCAAGGGUCUUUGAUGAAAUAAUAAUUUACAUGAAUAUGAACUAGAAGAUUGCUUAUUUAAGACAAAUUUUAUACUUUGAGAGAAAAUGUGUACAUUUCCUGGACUGUAGUAAAUAAAUGAUUAUAUUCACAAUUGUCUGUCGGUGUGAGACCCGUGUUUCCUCUGAUGUGGUUAAUCAAUACUGUGCAGUUAGCUCAACCUUUAGAGGAAGGCUGCACCAACUUGCCAUCUUUCUGAGAGCGUGAUGAUUAAGAAUGAUAAUGUCUAAGUGAUUAGCCUAGCUUAGCAUACAAGUCGGGGCAGACAGCUAGUGCGGCUCCGAAAAAGGUUUAAAACUAUGCGUACCAAUACCUCUAGUUCAUUGUACGUCUCUCUGUACAUAUGAUAUAUAAAAACAACAUUUUGUGGUUUUAUUGGGGCUUGAGCGCCGGUCUAUGUGACAAGCCUGACUUUGUCUUCGUAACCGUCCGGCCUCACAGAGCCUUUCUGCGAAGUUAGUUUUAAGCAGCCGACUCCCAAUAAAAUGAUAAAUUAUCACUUUGCCUAAAGGUGCAAGAUCGAGUACGGGAGCGUUUGAUUGCCUCUAAAUGGCUCUCGACAUGUCGACAGCACUAAUGGUGAUAACAGCUGUGCUCACAGUGCACACUAAGGCUAAACGCAGGCAGAGCUCACCUGGUUUACCUGAGGAG
ensembl:lncRNA